rnacentral:rRNA from 2 species
AACGCUUGGCGGCGUGCCUAAUACAUGCGAGUCGAACGAACUCUGGUAUUGAUUGGUGCUUGCAUCAUGAUUUACAUUUGAGUGAGUGGCGAACUGGUGAGUAACACGUGGGAAACCUGCCCAGAAGCGGGGGAUAACACCUGGAAACAGAUGCUAAUACCGCAUAACAACUUGGACCGCAUGGUCCGAGCUUGAAAGAUGGCUUCGGCUAUCACUUUUGGAUGGUCCCGCGGCGUAUUAGCUAGAUGGUGGGGUAACGGCUCACCAUGGCAAUGAUACGUAGCCGACCUGAGAGGGUAAUCGGCCACAUUGGGACUGAGACACGGCCCAAACUCCUACGGGAGGCAGCAGUAGGGAAUCUUCCACAAUGGACGAAAGUCUGAUGGAGCAACGCCGCGUGAGUGAAGAAGGGUUUCGGCUCGUAAAACUCUGUUGUUAAAGAAGAACAUAUCUGAGAGUAACUGUUCAGGUAUUGACGGUAUUUAACCAGAAAGCCACGGCUAACUACGUGCCAGCAGCCGCGGUAAUACGUAGGUGGCAAGCGUUGUCCGGAUUUAUUGGGCGUAAAGCGAGCGCAGGCGGUUUUUUAAGUCUGAUGUGAAAGCCUUCGGCUCAACCGAAGAAGUGCAUCGGAAACUGGGAAACUUGAGUGCAGAAGAGGACAGUGGAACUCCAUGUGUAGCGGUGAAAUGCGUAGAUAUAUGGAAGAACACCAGUGGCGAAGGCGGCUGUCUGGUCUGUAACUGACGCUGAGGCUCGAAAGUAUGGGUAGCAAACAGGAUUAGAUACCCUGGUAGUCCAUACCGUAAACGAUGAAUGCUAAGUGUUGGAGGGUUUCCGCCCUUCAGUGCUGCAGCUAACGCAUUAAGCAUUCCGCCUGGGGAGUACGGCCGCAAGGCUGAAACUCAAAGGAAUUGACGGGGGCCCGCACAAGCGGUGGAGCAUGUGGUUUAAUUCGAAGCUACGCGAAGAACCUUACCAGGUCUUGACAUACUAUGCAAAUCUAAGAGAUUAGACGUUCCCUUCGGGGACAUGGAUACAGGUGGUGCAUGGUUGUCGUCAGCUCGUGUCGUGAGAUGUUGGGUUAAGUCCCGCAACGAGCGCAACCCUUAUUAUCAGUUGCCAGCAUUAAGUUGGGCACUCUGGUGAGACUGCCGGUGACAAACCGGAGGAAGGUGGGGAUGACGUCAAAUCAUCAUGCCCCUUAUGACCUGGGCUACACACGUGCUACAAUGGAUGGUACAACGAGUUGCGAACUCGCGAGAGUAAGCUAAUCUCUUAAAGCCAUUCUCAGUUCGGAUUGUAGGCUGCAACUCGCCUACAUGAAGUCGGAAUCGCUAGUAAUCGCGGAUCAGCAUGCCGCGGUGAAUACGUUCCCGGGCCUUGUACACACCGCCCGUCACACCAUGAGAGUUUGUAACACCCAAAGUCGGUGGGGUAACCUUUUAGGAACCAGCCGCCUAAGGUGGGACAGAUGAUUAG